rnacentral:rRNA from 1 species
AACGAACGCUGGCGGCAGGCUUAACACAUGCAAGUCGAACGCCCCGCAAGGGGAGUGGCAGACGGGUGAGUAACGCGUGGGAAUCUACCUAGUUCUACGGAACAGCACAGGGAAACUUGUGCUAAUACCGUAUACGCCCUACGGGGGAAAGAUUUAUCGGAAUUAGAUGAGCCCGCGUAAGAUUAGCUAGUUGGUGGGGUAAUGGCCUACCAAGGCGACGAUCUUUAGCUGGUCUGAGAGGAUGAUCAGCCACACUGGGACUGAGACACGGCCCAGACUCCUACGGGAGGCAGCAGUGGGGAAUAUUGGACAAUGGGCGAAAGCCUGAUCCAGCCAUGCCGCGUGAGUGAUGAAGGCCUUAGGGUUGUAAAGCUCUUUCAGUAGGGAAGAUAAUGACGGUACCUACAGAAGAAGCCCCGGCUAACUUCGUGCCAGCCGCCGCCGUAA